UGAAAAUGAUUAAUUUGAGACGUUAAUCAACUGGGAUGAAAUUAAAUGAAAUGAGAUGAUAUGGAAUGAAAUAUAAUCUUAGUAAAAUGGUGGUCAUUUACUAAGAUUUUUUCAGUGGACUUUUUGGAGGAUCCCGAGAAGUUGCGUCCAGCGGCUUUGUUUCAUUUUCCCACAUUUGUGCACUUUCACAGAUAUUAAACACUUACUAAACCACCGUUAUUACACAUUUAAACCUGAAGAAACACUAAAUAGACAAAAUAAAACAAAUCACACAACUUCACUCCUCGCGCUCCCGCCAAAAAGUCCUCGCGAGUAACUCUCAACCAUAAAUUUAAAUAGAUUAUACACUUAGGCUAAGUUCACAUGACCGGUACCGCGCAUAGAUUAUACACUUAAUAUAUUGUACCGCGCGGAACUGCUCACCGCGCGGUACAAGUUCAAGUAUUUAUUGUUCACAUAAUAGCGCGCUGUCGCGCGGUACCGCGCGGUACGCUACAAAACUGUGUCUACAUGUUCAGCUGAUCCGCGCGGUUUGAGACGGACAGACGCAUAGAUCAAAGAAAAAUGAGUACCUAGCGAAGACGAUAUCGUGUCUAUCGAUUUUAAAUAGUUUUCAACGCAAUCAUAUAAAAAUGAAAAGAUGCAACUGACAUCUUAAACUAGGUAGUAAAAGAAUUUUAUUCGUGUAGUCUCAGGUCGGGAUAUAAAAUUACAAAAAGGCUUGAAGAAAGUCUUUCGAUUAAAAUAGGAUGCACCCAGUAUCGCCUUUGUCUUCUUCUCCGACGUCUCAGUUUUCUGUAUAAAAUUAAUAAGCAAAUUGCUUAACCCGGUCAGAGUAGGCGGGUUCCCGCGGUCAACACUACAACCAGACACGCAGCCAAACCCGAGGACGCCCCACCGACGGGUCGUCGAGGCGAUAGUCGACGACCAACGACGUCGGUCUCCGCAGUACGGCGGCCCUGCCAGGCCGCCCGGGCGAUGCCGCUGGUGUUCCGGGACACCCCGCUGGGCCAGGACCAGCCUGCCGGGUCGGAACGCGAUACACCGUUUUAUUUAUUUAUAAAAAUGAAAUUAUCGAAUAAUAGCAUAUCUGACUACCGAAAAAAUUAAUAAUAAUAAUAAUAUUCAAUUAAGUUAGACUUUUGUUUGUCCUCCCGUGUUGUUAUUUGAAAACAGAAAAUGUAUAAUUACAUACUCUUUUGAGAACCUUCAUGGGAACUAUUCAAACCUCGAUAAAGGCUUAAAUCGAAUUUAAAUUUAAAUAAAAAAAAAGUUUUAAGCGUCGUCUUUUUUUCACUUCUUUAGCGUCGCAUUCGUUAUAAAUUUGUUAAUUUUUUGUUUUAUUUUAUAUUAAUAAUAAAUAUAAAUAAUAAUAAUAAAAUUAUAAUAAAAUCAUAAAUAUUUACUGUAUUUUCUAUGGAGUUAUGCGUUUUGCAUUUUAAAUUUAAUAUAAAAACAACUAAUAAUAACAUUAUGUAACGUCGACUCCCGUCUACAUAUCCAUAAAUUAUUAUUACUUCAUUAAUAUAAAUAUGUGCCGCAAUAAUCAAGAGCUCCUCGAAGUAACCUUCGCCGGAGAAAGAGCUGGAGACCACGGGUUUAACUCAAGAACAACUGGUCGGAGCUUGAUAAAGAGAUGGAACUGCAUGAGAAGUACCAGUUUUCAAAUAAAAGGAGAAACAUCAGAAACAGUUCACGUCGAGAAAAGUUCUGAGGUAACAAAUAAUACAGUCGAAUGGAGAGACUCCUUGUUUUUGAAACGAAAAAGAAAAAAUCCGUCUACAGGUGGUAAGGCGUCUUGUGAGCCCACCAGGGUAAACGAGCGCAGACCGAUAUACAUGUAGACGGACAAGUUCGCUCCGAUACACGCUGACGCUUCGUCCUUCGUCGAGAUGUCAGUCGAACAGGAAGAAGAUCCUCGUGACGGGCAUCAAGGUCGUGGAUCUCCUGGCUCCGUACGUCAAAGAUUUUAGGCGGCGUGUUUAAUCACAUUCCGGAGGCUGCCUUCUACAUGGUGGGCACCAUAAAGGACGUGAUCGCCAAGUUACAGGAACUCGCCAAAAGCGUGUAGAGUCGAAAUGUUUUAUACGUUAUUUUAUUUGAAUAAAGAUGUUGGAUUU